rnacentral:sRNA from 1 species
AAAUAAUCGGGGGCGGUGGCUAACUUCCCGUGUAUGAUUGAACCUGCGGGCGCACGGCGCCGGGGUUCAUUUUUGU